AACCUUUUGUAUUUCAUAAGCUUAAUGAUUGGGUUUUCAUAUGCCUGUAAGAUGUACCUCCCUCAAACCUUGUUAUGAUGUUAACACAUUACCUAUCUGAUG